rnacentral:rRNA from 1 species
AGUAACACGUGAGUGACCUGCCUUUUAGACUGGAACAACUUACCGAAAGGUGAGCUAAUGCCGGAUGAGUUAUAUAAGUGCAUGUUUAUAUAGGAAAAGUUGGGGAGACCUGGCGCUGAAAGAUGGACUCGCGUCCCAUUAGCUAGUUGGUAGGGUAAUGGCCUACCAAGGCGACGAUGGGUAGCCGGCCUGAGAGGGUGGCCGGCCACACUGGGACUGAGACACGGCCCAGACUCCUACGGAAGGCAGCAG